GGGGAUAUAGCUCAGCUGGGAGAGCGCUGCGUUCGCAAUGCAGAGGUCGUGGGUUCGAUCCCCAUUAUCUCCACCA
rnacentral:tRNA from 6 species